ACGGGAGGCAGCAGUGGGGAAUAUUGGGCAAUGGGCGAAAGCCUGACCCAGCAACGCCGCGUGAAGGAAGAAGGUUUUCGGAUUGUAAACUUCUUUUAUCAGGGACGAAGAAAGUGACGGUACCUGAUGAAUAAGACACGGCUAACUACGUGCCAGCAGCCGCGGUGAUACGUAGGUGGCAAGCGUUAUCCGGAUUUACUGGGUGUAAAGGGCGCGUAGGCGGGGAUGCAAGUCAGAUGUGAAAUCCAUGGGCUUAACCCAUGAACUGCAUUUGAUACUGUAUCUCUUGAGUGUCGGAGAGGUAGACGGAAUUCCUAGUGUAGCGGUGAAAUGCGUAGAUAUUAUGAGGAACACCAGUGGCGAAGGCGGUCUACUGGACGAUAACUGACGCUGAGGCGCGAAAGCGUGGGGAGCAAACAGGAUUAGAUACCCUGGUA
rnacentral:rRNA from 1 species